rnacentral:rRNA from 1 species
AUUGAACGCUGGCGGCAUGCUUUACACAUGCAAGUCGGACGGUAACAGGCCGCAAGGUGCUGACGAGUGGCGAACGGGUGAGUAAUGCAUCGGAACGUGCCCAGUCGUGGGGGAUAACUACUCGAAAGAGUAGCUAAUACCGCAUACGAUCUAUGGAUGACAGCGGGGGACCGUAAGGCCUCGCGCGAUUGGAGCGGCCGAUGUCAGAUUAGGUAGUUGGUGGGGUAAAGGCUCACCAAGCCAACGAUCUGUAGCUGGUCUGAGAGGACGACCAGCCACACUGGGACUGAGACACGGCCCAGACUCCUACGGGAGGCAGCAGUGGGGAAUUUUGGACAAUGGGCGCAAGCCUGAUCCAGCAAUGCCGCGUGCAGGAAGAAGGCCUUCGGGUUGUAAACUGCUUUUGUACGGAACGAAACGGCUCUGGUUAAUACCCGGGGCUAAUGACGGUACCGUAAGAAUAAGCACCGGCUAACUACGUG